rnacentral:lncRNA from 1 species
UUUGAAAAAUCACCGUUUAUUAUUUGAGAAAUUCACCUUUACUUGGCUAGCAGAACUUUUUUGGACAACCUGCACAUGAAAUCGCCAGAACUAGCAGAAGCCCAGCGUAAGGCAAAGUUCUCCUUUGCUCUGUCAUUUCUUUUACAUUCCAGCCAGGGUCCUGAGUUUAACAACUUCAUAAAGAUGUGCCAAUUUUGCCAGUAGCUCUGUUUCCUUACUGAGAUAAAGCCAAAUAAAGUAGGUGUGCUCCAUCCUUCCCACCCUAGGAAUUACUGUUUCUGAGUCCUUAAGAUGUUCCAUGGGAACACUGUUUUCAUUUUGUUUCUCAAGAAAAGCACUUUUUGCUAUGAAGAAUGAAGUCGAGUUUGAAUGUUUUCAGCUGUUGCAGCAUGCAUCACGAGGAAGUGACUUGGCCGGUCACCAGUAGACAUCUACUGAUCUCCACUCACCCCAGGAAGAGUGAAGGCUGCAGAGACACAUGAAUAAUACCUUACUUGAAACAAGUGCUGUACAACACGAAGGAGAGUGAGCUGUCAGUGGUGGAAAUACCUUCCGAUUUCAAGAGAUCUUUUGCACUUUGCCCCUGCCCUCUCUGGAACGACGCCAGCACCGCUCAAGCAGCGUGUGCCACCAGCCCUGACUUACUCGGAGGUCUCCGAGAGCAGAAAACCUCUGAGAAACUCAGUCCUCUGAGGAAAUUAUUGGGUCUUACGAGACUGUGGGAAAGCGUUCUCGUAAAACAGUGUUCAUGGAAAGAAAACUGUGUUGAAACCGUCUCAGCAAAACGGACCUUUUUUCUCAUUCCCUGAUUUCAAAGAAAGUGAGCAAGGUUUGUGGUGCCAGAUGUGAACUAUUUUUUUAUUCUUUUUCUUACCCAUCUUGGCUUAUGGCGGUCACAAACUGACCAGGAUACUUCUUUGUACUGCUUUUGUUAAUUUUUAUUUUCCAAGUAAAUUUUGUCACCUCAGAUGCUUUGUGGGAAAAGCUAAUACACUAUGUUGGCUUUUUUUCUGCUGUGAUGGGAAAAAAAAGGAAAAUGUGAACACGGAGCUUCAUAUGCUAGAGAUGGUAAUUUUUCCUUGCUGGGUAGUAUGUGUGUCUCGGUGCUGGACUGGAAUUAUCGGAUCAUUGCUUCAGAGUGUCCAAGGGAACAAGGAGUUGCAUUUGCUAUAGCAAUAUGCUUCCUAAAACAAGCUCUGUUCCAAUGUUGACUAAAAUUUGUUUGUUUGCAUUAGUCUAUUUUUAAA